rnacentral:rRNA from 1 species
CCAUAGGUUAAUGAGGCGAACCGGGGGAACUGAAACAUCUAAGUACCCCGAGGAAAAGAAAUCAACCGAGAUUCCCCCAGUAGCGGCGAGCGAACGGGGAGGAGCCCAGAGCCUGAAUCAGUGUGUGUGUUAGUGGAAGCGUCUGGAAAGGCGUGCGAUACAGGGUGACAGCCCCGUACACAAAAAUGCACAUAUUGUGAGCUCGAUGAGUAGGGCGGGACACGUGGUAUCCUGUCUGAAUAUGGGGGGACCAUCCUCCAAGGCUAAAUACUCCUGACUGACCGAUAGUGAACCAGUACCGUGAGGGAAAGGCGAAAAGAACCCCGGCGAGGGGAGUGAAAAAGAACCUGAAACCGUGUACGUACAAGCAGUGGGAGCCUCUUUAUGGGGUGACUGCGUACCUUUUGUAUAAUGGGUCAGCGACUUAUAUUCUGUAGCAAGGUUAACCGAAUAGGGGAGCCGAAGGGAAACCGAGUCUUAACUGGGCGUUAAGUUGCAGGGUAUAGACCCGAAACCCGGUGAUCUAGCCAUGGGCAGGUUGAAGGUUGGGUAACACUAACUGGAGGACCGAACCGACUAAUGUUGAAAAAUUAGCGGAUGACUUGUGGCUGGGGGUGAAAGGCCAAUCAAACCGGGAGAUAGCUGGUUCUCCCCGAAAGCUAUUUAGGUAGCGCCUCGUGAAUUCAUCUCCGGGGGUAGAGCACUGUUUCGGCAAGGGGGUCAUCCCGACUUACCAACCCGAUGCAAACUGCGAAUACCGGAGAAUGUUAUCACGGGAGACACACGGCGGGUGCUAACGUCCGUCGUGAAGAGGGAAACAACCCAGACCGCCAGCUAAGGUCCCAAAGUCAUGGUUAAGUGGGAAACGAUGUGGGAAGGCCCAGACAGCCAGGAUGUUGGCUUAGAAGCAGCCAUCAUUUAAAGAAAGCGUAAUAGCUCACUGGUCGAGUCGGCCUGCGCGGAAGAUGUAACGGGGCUAAACCAUGCACCGAAGCUGCGGCAGCGACACUAUGUGUUGUUGGGUAGGGGAGCGUUCUGUAAGCCUGUGAAGGUGGCCUGUGAGGGUUGCUGGAGGUAUCAGAAGUGCGAAUGCUGACAUAAGUAACGAUAAAGCGGGUGAAAAGCCCGCUCGCCGGAAGACCAAGGGUUCCUGUCCAACGUUAAUCGGGGCAGGGUGAGUCGACCCCUAAGGCGAGGCCGAAAGGCGUAGUCGAUGGGAAACAGGUUAAUAUUCCUGUACUUGGUGUUACUGCGAAGGGGGGACGGAGAAGGCUAUGUUGGCCGGGCGACGGUUGUCCCGGUUUAAGCGUGUAGGCUGGUUUUCCAGGCAAAUCCGGAAAACCAAGGCUGAGGCGUGAUGACGAGGCACUACGGUGCUGAAGCGACAAAUGCCCUGCUUCCAGGAAAAGCCUCUAAGCAUCAGGUAACAUCAAAUCGUACCCCAAACCGACACAGGUGGUCAGGUAGAGAAUACCAAGGCGCUUGAGAGAACUCGGGUGAAGGAACUAGGCAAAAUGGUGCCGUAACUUCGGGAGAAGGCACGCUGAUAUGUAGGUGAAGCGACUUGCUCGUGGAGCUGAAAUCAGUCGAAGAUACCAGCUGGCUGCAACUGUUUAUUAAAAACACAGCACUGUGCAAACACGAAAGUGGACGUAUACGGUGUGACGCCUGCCCGGUGCCGGAAGGUUAAUUGAUGGGGUUAGCGGUAACGCGAAGCUCUUGAUCGAAGCCCCGGUAAACGGCGGCCGUAACUAUAACGGUCCUAAGGUAGCGAAAUUCCUUGUCGGGUAAGUUCCGACCUGCACGAAUGGCGUAAUGAUGGCCAGGCUGUCUCCACCCGAGACUCAGUGAAAUUGAACUCGCUGUGAAGAUGCAGUGUACCCGCGGCAAGACGGAAAGACCCCGUGAACCUUUACUAUAGCUUGACACUGAACAUUGAGCCUUGAUGUGUAGGAUAGGUGGGAGGCUUUGAAGUGUGGACGCCAGUCUGCAUGGAGCCGACCUUGAAAUACCACCCUUUAAUGUUUGAUGUUCUAACGUUGGCCCGUAAUCCGGGUUGCGGACAGUGUCUGGUGGGUAGUUUGACUGGGGCGGUCUCCUCCUAAAGAGUAACGGAGGAGCACGAAGGUUGGCUAAUCCUGGUCGGACAUCAGGAGGUUAGUGCAAUGGCAUAAGCCAGCUUGACUGCGAGCGUGACGGCGCGAGCAGGUGCGAAAGCAGGUCAUAGUGAUCCGGUGGUUCUGAAUGGAAGGGCCAUCGCUCAACGGAUAAAAGGUACUCCGGGGAUAACAGGCUGAUACCGCCCAAGAGUUCAUAUCGACGGCGGUGUUUGGCACCUCGAUGUCGGCUCAUCACAUCCUGGGGCUGAAGUAGGUCCCAAGGGUAUGGCUGUUCGCCAUUUAAAGUGGUACGCGAGCUGGGUUUAGAACGUCGUGAGACAGUUCGGUCCCUAUCUGCCGUGGGCGCUGGAGAACUGAGGGGGGCUGCUCCUAGUACGAGAGGACCGGAGUGGACGCAUCACUGGUGUUCGGGUUGUCAUGCCAAUGGCACUGCCCGGUAGCUAAAUGCGGAAGAGAUAAGUGCUGAAAGCAUCUAAGCACGAAACUUGCCCCGAGAUGAGUUCUCCCUGACUCCUUGAGAGUCCUGAAGGAACGUUGAAGACGACGACGUUGAUAGGCCGGGUGUGUAAGCGCAGCGAUGCGUUGAGCUAACCGGUACUAAUGAACCGUGAGGCUUAACCUUACAACGCCGAAG